UUGCCGACAUUAUAGUUAGGGAGGCGAAUAGGGGAAUUUUCGGCAAUACUCGAGCGUGGCAGUUUAAGAUAUGAGAGAUACCUUAGACCUAAUAGAAUAACCUUGUAAAGUAUUUAGCUCUAUAUGUAGUGACGCGCGCCUAGGAUAGACGAUCAGAUUAGUAAAAAAAAAUGGAUAGUCUGAAAUACUCGAGCGCCUCAGAUUAAGAUAUUGGGGGUUGAUUUUAGUGUUUAAAGACUAAAUUUAACUAAUCUGACGAUAAGUCCUUGACGCCGCCGAGUUAUAGGGUCGCGAACUUGUAAAAAAAAACGUUAAUCCGGCAUUCUCGAGCGCGAUUUUUUUAUUUUUUAUUUUGAAGAAUAUAAUCUAAAACUUACUAAAAAUACAAAAUCUGCCGGUUUCCGCAUGACCGGAAGUGUGGAGGAGCCAUUUCGUCUUCCUAAGAACGCGUUGCGGCAUAUAAGUCACGAACGAUACAUUUUACAAAAAAAAAGUUUAAAUAAACAAAAAAGGUAAUUUUAUUUUACACAAAAAAGGUCUCUUUACAUUUUUGUCCAAAGUUAAAACUUUUUGACUUGAAGCAUCAUAAAAACUCAAACUCCCGGUUUUUUGAGGUUCCGUGGCCAAAUGGCAAAAAACGGAACCCUUAUAGAUUCGUCAUGUCUGUCUGUCUGUCUGUAUGUUCGUCCGUAUGUCACAGCCACUUUUUUCCGAAACUAUAAGCACUAUACUGUUGAAACUUGGUAAGUAGAUGUAUUUUGUGAACCGCAUUAAGAUUUUCAUACAAAAACAGAAAAAAAAACUAUAAAUUUUUAGGGUUCCCCAUACAUAGAACUGAAACUCAAAAAAUUUUUUUUCAUCUAACCCAUACGUGUGGGGUAUCUAUGGAUAGGUCUUCAAAAAUGAUAUUGAGGUUUCUAAUAUCAUUUUCUUCUAAACUGAAUAGUUUGCGCGAGAGACACUUCCAAAGUGGUAAAAUGUGUGUCCCCCCCCUGUAACUUCUAAAAUAAGAGAAUGAUAAAACUAAAAAAAAUAUAUGAUGUACAUUACCAUGCAAACUUCCACCGAAAAUUGGUUUGAACAAGAUUUGGUAAGAAGUUUUUUUUAAUACGUCAUAAA